rnacentral:rRNA from 1 species
AUUGAACGCUGGCGGCAGGCCUAACACAUGCAAGUCGAACGAGUGGCGGACGGGUGAGUAAUGUCUGUGAAACUUCCUGCUGGCGGGGGAUAACUACUGUAAACGGUACCUAAUACCGCAUACCAUCGGAUGUGCCCAGAUGGGAUUAGCUAGUAGGUGGGGUAAAGGCUCACCUAGGCGACGAUCCCUAGCUGGUCUGAGAGGAUGACCAGCAACACGGGAACUGAGACACGGUCCAGACGCCUACGGGAGGCAGCAGUGGGGAAUAUUGCACAAUGGGCGCAAGCCCGAUGCAGCCAUGCCGCGUGUAUGAAGAAGGCCUUCGGGUUGUAAAGUACUUUCAGCGGGGAGGCGUUACCCGCAGAAGAAGCACCGGCUAACUCCGUGCCAGCAGCCGCGGUAAUAU